rnacentral:rRNA from 1 species
AUGGGAACGCGAAGAACCUUACCUAGACUUGACAUCUCCUGAAUAGUGUAGAGAUACAUGAAGCCCUUCGGGGCAGGAAGACAGGUGGUGCAUGGUUGUCGUCAGCUCGUGUCGUGAGAUGUUGGGUUAAGUCCCGCAACGAGCGCAACCCUUAUUACUAGUUGCUACCAUUAAGUUGAGCACUCUAGUGAGACUGCCCGGGGUUAACCGGGAGGAAGGCGGGGAUGACGUCAAAUCAUCAUGCCCCUUAUGUCUAGGGCAACACACGUGCUACAAUGGUGAGUACAGAUAGAUGCGAUACCGCAAGGUGGAGCCAAACUCUAAAACUCAUCCCAGUUCGGAUUGUAGGCUGCAACUCGCCUACAUGAAGUUGGAAUCGCUAGUAAUCGUAGAUCAGAAUGCUACGGUGAAUACGUUCCCGGGUCUUGUACACACCG